AUGUGAAGAUGGGCGCAGCCUGACCGCAAUGCCGCGUGGGUGAAGAAGGUCUUCGGAUUGUAAAGCCCUUUCGGCGGGGACGAUGAUGACGGUACCCGCAGAAGAAGCCCCGGCUAACUUCGUGCCAGCAGCCGCGGUAAUACGAAGGGGGCUAGCGUUGCUCGGAAUCACUGGGCGUAAAGGGCGCGUAGGCGGCCCUGUUGGUCCGGCGUGAAAUCCCUGGGCUUAACCUGGGGGCUGCGCUGGAGACGGCGGGGCUGGAGGCCGAGAGAGGGUGGUGGAAUUCCCAGUGUAGAGGUGAAAUUCGUAGAUAUUGGGAAGAAGGGGGGUGGCGAAGGCGGCCACCUGGCUCGGACCUGACGCUGAGGCGCGACG
rnacentral:rRNA from 1 species